rnacentral:rRNA from 1 species
UACGUAGGCAGCGAGCGUUGUUCGGAAUUACUGGGCGUAAAGAGUGUGUAGGCGGUGCUCUAAGUUCGGUGUGAAAUCUCCUGGCUUAACUGGGAGGGUGCGCCGGAAACUGGAGUGCUCGAACGUGGGAGAGGAAAGCGGAAUUCCUGGUGUAGCGGUGAAAUGCGUAGAUAUCAGGAGGAACACCUGCGGUGUAGACGGCUUUCUGGACCAUUGUUGACGCUGAGACACGAAAGCGUGGGGAGCGAACAGG